CCUGAGGAGAAACAAAACGAAGGGGAAGCGUGUCAAAAGAGGCCACCGACGGGUGCUGGAGCGCCGCCCACGCGACAUGAACAGUGAGGCGGCUGCAGGACAACUCUUUAAGGAGGCCUCGACCCAGAACAAUAAACCACUAGGUAGCAUGUCUCCUCACGGCCGCCCUUCUUAUUAUGAGCUGAGGACUUGCCCUUAAGAAGGAACUAUGCCUUAUCCCGGUGAGGAAUGCAGUGAACAACCACAUUAUUAUUUAUUUAAAUGGCGGUGAAGGUUGUUGGUGCAUGUCAGAUGCACUGUUUUGGGGAAUUAGGAGGGUUUAUUGGAUGAGCCAGAACACUGUGUGCUGCCAGGGACACUUUGCCCAAGGCCAGCAUACAGGGUAAGAUACAAAUGGAAGACAAUUUAACUAGAUGUGUGGUUCCCUCCACCGUCGGUAAAGGAGAAACGGUGUCGAGCUGUUUAUAUGCGUUACAGCGCCCUGUUUUUCAGCUGUCCAACACCCUCACUGAUGACUGGACUGGACGAGGAGCAGAUUACUUCUGUUCGGUCACAAUUCAGGCAAUUCGAAGGUGGGCUGUGUGCCGGAUUGGCCCUCUGACCUGGACCGCAAACUCCCGGGCGUCUCGCAGCAGGCUCUCUGCAGGAAACUGAUUGGUGAAGAAGGAGCCGUCCGGCAGACGGAACUGUAUCCUCGCUACGGCACUGUGAACGAACACGCACACAAAUUGAAGGAACUUACACUUUCUUCUCAUUUCAACAAUUAAACGAUUUAAAUAACUGGACUUGCGCAAACGGAUAAAUCUGUGCACUUUGUGCCGUGUUGUCCAUUGACGUGAAUUAAACAGAGGUCAUGCUAGUGUAAAGGACCAAAAA